rnacentral:misc_RNA from 1 species
GUUGCGGCGGGCUGCUUGCCUUGUCCAGGCUUCUCCUUGCUUCUCUGUUUUCUCGUCCCUUACCGCGGCCCCAUCGCUGACUCACCGCUGCCUGUGCACGGCGAGUAGGUAAGGUGGAAAAAAAACGCGCGCGCGGCCGCGGCAGCUGUUUACGCGCAAGCGUAGCGAAGCGAAGCAGCAUUCAGCAGUGAGACGGUUGGCAGCGCAUAAUAGGUUUGCUUGAAAAGCGUAGCUGCCCACCUCCUUCCCGCUUCUGUCUCCUCUCAUAGCCAGCAGCGACUUGCCCCCCCCCCCCCUUCCCCCAAACAACAGCAGCAGCAGCAACGUUGCGCCCUCCCUCCUCCUGCUCUCUUUCUCUUGCUCUGCACGACGACGUAGCAGAUGAAGUCGUCCGAUAUCUUUCACGCGUGCAAGUACACGCCCAUCUUGCUCAAGAGCCGUACGAACGACAGCGGCGUCAACCAAUACGGCCUGAGGCCCGUCAACUCCUACGACUACCUGAAUCCGACAAACUUGGUAAACUUCGGGCGCGGCACCGCCUUCGACAACCUCGGUGUGCGCCGCUCUGAGCGAGGCCAGAUCGACUCGGCCCCCUCGCUCGGCGGUUCGCCCGUGUUCACGCAGGCAAAGCUGCUAGGACUGAGCGGUGACGACCAGCUCCGCCUCUGCGAGGCGGAGACCACGCAGCUGCGGAUGUGCAUGGCGAAGGGCGGCAGCACCUGCGAGCGCGAGAGUCUUCUGCUGGACGCGUGCCUCUCCAAGGUUGGCCACUUGCGCCGUGCCAUUAGCCAAGCCGGCUCCGAGUUCAACGACUGGUUUAUUCAGAACGUAUCGGACAACCACACCAAGCCGUUUCAACAUCGCCCCCACGACUGGCGGCACUACUACGCACAGGAGAAGCUCGUGCGUGAGAAGCAGCAGAACGGGCACGCGUACGGGCGGAGACCGAAGGAGUUCUCUUUCGGUGCUCGCUAUGUCAAGACGGAGGGCUACGGCAAGCGACCGCGCCUGCCGUACAACAAGUGAGCUACGCGAUACAGGAGGCAUGGCAGGUAAUGGACUGUUUCACUGUGUACGUAUACGUGUCGGGGUGCGCACAACGAGGGACCGCGUAGGCAGCGACGCUAGUGCAUGUGUUCUGUGUUGUUUGUGCCUUGCUCGCUCGCAUGCCCUUCCCCCUCCCUCCCUCCCUCCCUUCCACGACUGCAUCGCCCUCUGCCUCUUUCGAAGACGCACCGGCACACGCUCGCUGACAAGCACCGGUGCACCCGCUCGUCAAGCACGUUGCCAAGCCGCAGUCAAAGAUGCAGACGAAAGCACAAACACAGGUACGUGCACCUACUUUCCCGCGUGCAGUCAGAGGCACGCGCCGUUAUCGAGGCACGCAGGUGUGUGUGUGUGUGUGCGAUGCUGAUCGUGGCGGCUCUUUAGUGAACUCCUCUGUCCCACCUCUUCCAGCCUCUUUACUCGGCACUGCUGCCUCACCCCCCCCCCCCCCCCCACCACCACCAACACCGUCGCCUGGCCAAGGCAAAGAUUCCUUGGUCUUUCGCCGCCAGUUUCACUCGCCCAGCCAUGCCUCUGGACGGAUCGGUGGCUAACGCAGCAGCGACGGUGAGGAGCAGUGGGCAAGAGUACAGUCGAUGAAUGAACCGGUGGGCGUGCAAGCGGGCGUGUGUACCUCUGUACAUUGCGUAGUAUUCGCUGCACUCCGAACUUGCCGAUUUCCGCCGCAACCUUUUCUGUGAAGACGAACGGGCAGCCUUCCACGCGACGCGAUGCUGAUGCACCUUCUCUCCUGCUCUCCCUCUAUUGCCAUCGGUGCCCUGCCCUCCGCCUCGCUGCAUCGAAUCAUUUCGCUAAACACGCACACACACGCGUACACGCACACAUCGGAACUGAUCAG